rnacentral:rRNA from 1 species
UGGCUCAGGACGAACGCUGGCGGCGUGCUUAACACAUGCAAGUCGAGCGGUAAGGCCUUUCGGGGUACACGAGCGGCGAACGGGUGAGUAACACGUGGGUGAUCUGCCCUGCACUCUGGGAUAAGCUUGGGAAACUGGGUCUAAUACCGGAUAUGACUACARYAUGCAUGUGUUGUGGUGGAAAGAUUUAUCGGUGCAGGAUGGGCCCGCGGCCUAUCAGCUUGUUGGUGGGGUAAUGGCCUACCAAGGCGACGACGGGUAGCCGACCUGAGAGGGUGACCGGCCACACUGGGACUGAGACACGGCCCAGACUCCUACGGGAGGCAGCAGUGGGGAAUAUUGCACAAUGGGCGGAAGCCUGAUGCAGCGACGCCGCGUGAGGGAUGAAGGCCUUCGGGUUGUAAACCUCUUUCAGCAGGGACGAAGCGUGAGUGACGGUACCUGCAGAAGAAGCACCGGCUAACUACGUGCCAGCAGCCGCGGUAAUACGUAGGGUGCGAGCGUUGUCCGGAAUUACUGGGCGUAAAGAGUUCGUAGGCGGUUUGUCGCGUCGUUUGUGAAAACCCGGGGCUCAACUUCGGGCUUGCAGGCGAUACGGGCAGACUUGAGUGUUUCAGGGGAGACUGGAAUUCCUGGUGUAGCGGUGAAAUGCGCAGAUAUCAGGAGGAACACCGGUGGCGAAGGCGGGUCUCUGGGAAACAACUGACGCUGAGGAACGAAAGCGUGGGUAGCAAACAGGAUUAGAUACCCUGGUAGUCCACGCCGUAAACGGUGGGCGCUAGGUGUGGGUUCCUUCCACGGGAUCUGUGCCGUAGCUAACGCA